rfam:Heterocephalus glaber contig210603, whole genome shotgun sequence.
GCCGUGUCCUACUCAGAGAAGUGUCGGUUGCUUGGGUUACACAUAACCGAGGCCUCUCUGGGUAGAGUAAGGCU